rnacentral:tRNA from 1 species
UCUAAUAUGGCAGAAAAGUGCCUUGGAUUUAAACCCCAAUUAUAAAGAUUUAAAUCUUUUUUUAGAA